AUGCAGAGAGGACUUCACGAUGCUCAUGAAAACCAGACAGGACAUGAUGCUGCAGGAUUUUCUGGGUCUGCAAGUGUCCCAUUUGAGCUGCACCUUGUAGUCUGCGAGAGGCUUGUGAGGUUUGAAGUAAGUAUCCUUGUGAUCUGCCUGCCCUUGUUCCCUCCUCAGGUACAGUUGCAGGAGUCAGGGCCUGGUCUGCUGAAGCCCUCUCAGUCUCUGUCGCUCACCUGCACUGUCACUGGUUACUCCAUCAGCAGUGGUUACUGGUGGAGUUGGAUUCGUCAGCAUCCAGAGAAAGGGCUGGAGUGGAUGGGUGAAAUUUAUAAUGAUGGAGACACCAACUACAACCCAUCUCUCAAGAGCCGAAUAACUAUGACAGUAGAUACAUCAAAGAAUCAGUUUUCCCUGAGGCUGAGCUCUAUGACCACUGAGGACACAGCUGUGUAUUACUGUGCUAGAAGCACAGUGAUGGAACUUCAGUAUGAGUCCAAACAUAAACAAACUUUCCUGUAG